rnacentral:rRNA from 1 species
CCCUUAGACGUUCUGGGCCGCACGCGCGCUGCACUGACCAGUGCAACAAGCAUCCGUCCUUGGCCGACAGGCUCGGGCAAUCUUUGAACGCUGGUCGUGAUGGGGAUAGACUUUUGCAAUUUUUGGUCUUCAACGAGGAAUUCCUAGUAAACGCAAGUCAUCAACUUGCAUUGAUUACGUCCCUGCCCUUUGUACACACCGCCCGUCGCACCUACCGAUUGAAUGGUCCGGUGAAGCCUCCGGAUUGGCGCGCACCUCGGUGCCGCCGAGAAGUUGGCUAAACCUUACCAUUUAGAGGAAGGUGAANUCGUAACA